rnacentral:tRNA from 1 species
GGUACCAUGGCCGAGGGGUUAGGCAGCGGUCUGCAAAACCGUGUACGGCAGUUCGAAUCUGCCUGGUACCU